UACGUAGGGGGCAAGCGUUAUCCGGAAUCAUUGGGCGUAAAGCGCGUGUAGGCGGUUCUGUAAGUCCGCUCUGAAAGCCCAGGGCUCAACCCUGGGAGGCGGGUGGAUACUACAGAACUGGAGUACGGAAGAGGAGAUUGGAAUUCCUGGUGUAGCGGUGAAAUGCGCAGAUAUCAGGAGGAACACCAACAGCGAAGGCAGAUCUCUGGGACGUUACUGACGCUGAGACACGAAAGCGUGGGUAGCAAACAGG
rnacentral:rRNA from 1 species